rnacentral:rRNA from 1 species
CCUACGGGAGGCAGCAGUGGGGGAUAUUGCACAAUGGGGGAAACCCUGAUGCAGCGACGCCGCGUGGGCGAAGAAGUAUUUCGGUAUGUAAAGCCCUAUCAGCAGGGAAGAAGAAAUGACGGUACCUGAGUAAGAAGCAUCGCCCAAAUACGUGCCAGCAGCCGCGGUAAUACGUAUGGUGCAAGCGUUAUCCGGAUUUACUGGGUGGAAAGGGAGCGCAGGCGGCACGGCAAGCCUGAUGUGAAAGCCCGCGGCCCAACCGCGGGACUGCAUUGGGAACUACCGGGCUGGAGUGCCGGAGAGGUAGGCGGAAUGCCUAGGGUAGCGGUGAAAUGCGUAGAUAUUAGGAGGAACACCAGUGGCGAAGGCGGCCUACUGGACGGUGACUGACGCUGAGGCUCGAAAGCGUGGGGAGCAAACAGGAUUAGAUACCCCAGUAGUC